GGAGCGGUAGUUCAGUAGGUUAGAAUACCUGCCUGUCACGCAGGGGGGCGCGGGUUCGAGUCCCGUCCGUUCCGCCA
rnacentral:tRNA from 2 species